UGUUGCUAUGGUAUCCGGGGUGGUUGCUAAGGUGUCGCUAGGUGGUUGCUAGGGUGUUGCUAGGUGGUUGCUAAGGUGUUGCUAUGGUAUCUGGGGUGGUUGCUAAGGUGUUUCUAGGUGGUUGCUAGGUGGUUGCUAAGGUGUUGCUAUGGUAUCCGGGGUGGUUGCUAAGAUGUUGCUAGGUGGUUGCUAAGGUGUUGCUAUGCGGUUGCUAAGGUG